GAUGAACGCUGGCGGCGUGCCUAAUACAUGCAAGUCGAGCGAACAGAUGAGGAGCUUGCUCCUCUGACGUUAGCGGCGGACGGGUGAGUAACACGUGGAUAACCUACCUAUAAGACUGGGAUAACUUCGGGAAACCGGAGCUAAUACCGGAUAAUAUAUUGAACCGCAUGGUUCAAUAGUGAAAGACGGUUUUGCUGUCACUUAUAGAUGGAUCCGCGCCGCAUUAGCUAGUUGGUAAGGUAACGGCUUACCAAGGCAACGAUGCGUAGCCGACCUGAGAGGGUGAUCGGCCACACUGGAACUGAGACACGGUCCAGACUCCUACGGGAGGCAGCAGUAGGGAAUCUUCCGCAAUGGGCGAAAGCCUGACGGAGCAACGCCGCGUGAGUGAUGAAGGUCUUCGGAUCGUAAAGCUCUGUUAUUAGGGAAGAACAAAUGUGUAAUUAACUAUGCACGUCUUGACGGUACCUAACCAGAAAGCCACGGCUAACUACGUG
rnacentral:rRNA from 1 species